CAGAUUCUGUUUUUUCUGUUUCACAGCAGUGACAAAGCAAACAGUGGUGAAAAUGAAGCUUCAGUCAGAGGCAGACAUGCACAGCACAGAGAUCCAGCAGCAGGUUUCACAGCAGCUGUCAGGCCUCAUGCUGUCAGAAGGACUGACAGACUUCAGGAUUCGAUGGAGGAAAGUCCAGAGUUACCGUGACGACCAGUCAAAGAAGCAGGAUGUGGACGGUGGCUGCAAA